CAGUCCUGUAAAUAGAUUACAAAGACAGAAAGAAGUCUCACCUUCUUAUAUAGCCAAACAGAUACAACAAAUUACAUACAUUUUGUCAAGAUAAAUAAGUAGUCCUCAAGUAAGAGGACUUGACAACACCAUUUGUCACACAUAGUUCAUCAUAGUUCAUCACUUGGUAAUUGGAGUGACCAUUUGUUAGCUAACUGGCUUUAUCCAAAGGAAAAAUAAACUUCUCGAAUCUUUAUGAGAUAGGUAGUUUGGGAGCUAGGCGUCCACUCAAGUUAGAUUCCCACCAUCCUGCAGACAGUGGGAGCUAGGAACGCUACCUGCCUUGGGGUUACAUUUCAAAGAGAUGGUUCGCAGGUUCUUAAGAAAGACCUCUGGGUCACAAAGCUGUCCAGAGGCUUAGUUAGCUUUUAAAAAGAUUUAUAUGCAUUUCAAAGAACUUACAGAGAAAGAAUUUACAAGUUUUUCAAGUAAAUGUCUAAGAAAAGGGAGACAUAGAAGUCUCUUCCCUUAUUUUCAACACAGAGAAUUAAGCCUCUUACCUCUUUUUUUGUAUCUGCUCUUGCACAGCUAGCCCUCUGGGAGCCCCGCCGGAAGUGCUGGUUGCUGCUACAUGCUUUGUCAGUCAGAGCCACUGACCAAGUCCAAGCUACCAGUAUCUCCGCCAGGACUGCUGCAGCAGCCUUAAAGUUCCCCUGCAAGGAUUCAUCCUCCUCCAAUCUACUCUACAGAGCAGCCAGAGUGGAUGAACACAAGAUUCUCCUCAUGGCCAGAGGACCUGCAAGACCAGACCCCCACCUACCUCCUCAGCCUCAUCUCAGAGCCACCGUCUCUGCUAAUAGGCCUUUUCACCUGUUCCUCUCCACAGAUGCUCCCCCAACCCCUUCACCUACCCUUCGUUCAGCCUCUGCUGUCAUCACCUCUGCAGGAAGGCCCUCCUGACCUCUUCUGGGCAGCCCUUUUCAGUUGCAGUGUUAUAUCGAUUUAUAGCAAUAAUUUGAUUAAGCAUGUCUCUUCAUGUAGAAUGCAAUUUCCCAUGAAGGCAGGGACCCCA